CCCACAUAUAUAUAGGUGGGAGAGGGAGGGAAUCAGCAAGGGGCACCCCAAGUAGGAGGGAUCCUUCCAUAAGUAUCGGAGGGGGAAGGAAAGAGAGGGGGAGGGAAGGAAAGGGGGAGGCCGAAACCUCCCCUUUCCUU
rnacentral:sRNA from 1 species